GACGAACGCUGGCGGCGUGCUUAACACAUGCAAGUCGAACGGAAAGGCCCUGCUUGCGGGGUACUCGAGUUGCGAACGGGUGAGUAACACGUGGGUGGUCUGCCCUCCACUUCGGGAUAAGCCUGGGCAACUGGGUCUAAUACCGGAUAGGAGCCAUUUUUAGUGUGAUGGUUGGAAAGUUUUUUCGGUUUAUGAUGAGCUCGCGGGCUAUCAGCUUGUUGGUGGGGUAAUGGCCUACCAAGGCGGCGACGGGUAGCCGGCCUGGGAGGGUGGACGGCCACCUUGGGACUGAGAGACGGCCCAGACACCGACGGGAGGCAGAAGUGGGGAAUAUUGAACAAGGGGCGCAAGCCUGAUGCAGAGACGCCGCGGGGCGGAUGACGGUCUUCGGGUUGAAAACCCCAUUCGCUAGGGACGAAGCUUUUUGUGACGGUACCUAGAGAAGAAGCACCGGCUAACUACGUG
rnacentral:rRNA from 1 species